rnacentral:rRNA from 1 species
UACAGAGGGGGCAAGCGUUGUUCGGAAUUACUGGGCGUAAAGAGCGUGUAGGCGGCCAGGUAGGUCGGUUGUGAAAACUGGAGGCUCAACCUUCAGACGUCGACCGAAACCAUCUGGCUAGAGUCCGGGAGAGGAGAGUGGAAUUCCUGGUGUAGCGGUGAAAUGCGCAGAUAUCAGGAAGAACACCCGUGGCGAAAGCGGCUCUCUGGAACGGUACUGACGCUGAGACGCGAAAGCGUGGGGAGCGAACAGG